GACGGGGGGGCAAGUGUUCUUCGGAAUGACUGGGCGUAAAGGGCACGUAGGCGGUUGAAUCGGGUUGAAAGUGAAAGUCGCCAAAAAGUGGCGGAAUGCUCUCGAAACCAAUUCACUUGAGUGAGACAGAGGAGAGUGGAAUUCGUGUGUAGAGGUGAAAUUCGUAGAUAUCGGGAGGAACACCGGUGGCGAAGGCGGCCAUCUGGACGGAUACUGACGCUGAGACGGCGAAAAGCGUGGGUAGCAAACGAGG
rnacentral:rRNA from 1 species